rnacentral:rRNA from 1 species
UACGGGGGGGGCAAGCGUUGUUCGGAAUUACUGGGCGUAAAGGGCGCGUAGGCGGCUCGCUAAGUCGGAUGUGAAAACUCUGGGCUCAACCCAGAGCCUGCAUUCGAAACUGACGAGCUCGAGUACUGGAGGGGAAAGCGGAAUUCCUGGUGUAGCGGUGAAAUGCGUAGAUAUCAGGAGGAACACCGGUGGCGAAGGCGGCUUUCUGGACAGUAACUGACGCUGAUGCGCGAAAGCUAGGGGAGCAAACAGG